GGGUUGUGAGGUUAAGCGACUAAGCGUACACGGUGGAUGCCCUGGCAGUCAGAGGCGAUGAAGGACGUGCUAAUCUGCGAAAAGCGUCGGUAAGGUGAUAUGAACCGUUAUAACCGGCGAUGUCCGAAUGGGGAAACCCAGUGUGAUUCGUCACACUAUCGUUAACUGAAUACAUAGGUUAACGAGGCGAACCGGGGGAACUGAAACAUCUAAGUACCCCGAGGAAAAGAAAUCAACCGAGAUUCCCCCAGUAGCGGCGAGCGAACGGGGAGCAGCCCAGAGUCUGAAUCAGCUUGUGUGUUAGUGGAACGGUCUGGAAAGUCCGACGGUACAGGGUGAUAGUCCCGUACACCAAAAUGCACAGGCUGUGAACUCGAAGAGUAGGGCGGGACACGUGGUAUCCUGUCUGAAUAUGGGGGGACCAUCCUCCAAGGCUAAAUACUCCUGACUGACCGAUAGUGAACCAGUACCGUGAGGGAAAGGCGAAAAGAACCCCGGCGAGGGGAGUGAAAAAGAACCUGAAACCGUGUACGUACAAGCAGUGGGAGCACCUUCGGGUGUGACUGCGUACCUUUUGUAUAAUGGGUCAGCGACUUAUAUUCUGUAGCAAGGUUAACCGUAUAGGGGAGCCGCAGGGAAACCGAGUCUUAACUGGGCGUUAAGUUGCAGGGUAUAGACCCGAAACCCGGUGAUCUAGCCAUGGGCAGGUUGAAGGUUGGGUAACACUAACUGGAGGACCGAACCGACUAAUGUUGAAAAAUUAGCGGAUGACUUGUGGCUGGGGGUGAAAGGCCAAUCAAACCGGGAGAUAGCUGGUUCUCCCCGAAAGCUAUUUAGGUAGCGCCUCGUGAACUCAUCUUCGGGGGUAGAGCACUGUUUCGGCUAGGGGGUCAUCCCGACUUACCAACCCGAUGCAAACUACGAAUACCGAAGAAUGUUAUCACGGGAGACACACGGCGGGUGCUAACGUCCGUCGUGAAGAGGGAAACAACCCAGACCGCCAGCUAAGGUCCCAAAGUCAUGGUUAAGUGGGAAACGAUGUGGGAAGGCACAGACAGCCAGGAUGUUGGCUUAGAAGCAGCCAUCAUUUAAAGAAAGCGUAAUAGCUCACUGGUCGAGUCGGCCUGCGCGGAAGAUGUAACGGGGCUAAACCAUGCACCGAAGCUGCGGCAGCGACACUAUGUGUUGUUGGGUAGGGGAGCGUUCUGUAAGCCUGCGAAGGUGACCUGUGAGGGUUGCUGGAGGUAUCAGAAGUGCGAAUGCUGACAUAAGUAACGAUAAAGCGGGUGAAAAGCCCGCUCGCCGGAAGACCAAGGGUUCCUGUCCAACGUUAAUCGGGGCAGGGUGAGUCGACCCCUAAGGCGAGGCCGAAAGGCGUAGUCGAUGGGAAACAGGUUAAUAUUCCUGUACUUGGUGUUACUGCGAAGGGGGGACGGAGAAGGCUAUGUUAGCCGGGCGACGGUUGUCCCGGUUUAAGCAUGUAGGCUGGUUGUCCAGGCAAAUCCGGAUAAUCAAGGCUGAGGUGUGAUGACGAGGCACUACGGUGCUGAAGUAACAAAUGCCCUGCUUCCAGGAAAAGCCUCUAAGCAUCAGGUAACAUCAAAUCGUACCCCAAACCGACACAGGUGGUCAGGUAGAGAAUACCAAGGCGCUUGAGAGAACUCGGGUGAAGGAACUAGGCAAAAUGGUGCCGUAACUUCGGGAGAAGGCACGCUGGUGUGUAGGUGAAGUCCCUGCGGAUGGAGCUGAGACCAGUCGAAGAUACCAGCUGGCUGCAACUGUUUAUUAAAAACACAGCACUGUGCAAACACGAAAGUGGACGUAUACGGUGUGACGCCUGCCCGGUGCCGGAAGGUUAAUUGAUGGGGUUAUCCGUAAGGAGAAGCUCUUGAUCGAAGCCCCGGUAAACGGCGGCCGUAACUAUAACGGUCCUAAGGUAGCGAAAUUCCUUGUCGGGUAAGUUCCGACCUGCACGAAUGGCGUAAUGAUGGCCAGGCUGUCUCCACCCGAGACUCAGUGAAAUUGAACUCGCUGUGAAGAUGCAGUGUACCCGCGGCAAGACGGAAAGACCCCGUGAACCUUUACUAUAGCUUGACACUGAACAUUGAGCCUUGAUGUGUAGGAUAGGUGGGAGGCUUUGAAGCGUGGACGCCAGUCUGCGUGGAGCCAACCUUGAAAUACCACCCUUUAAUGUUUGAUGUUCUAACGUUGGCCCCUGACCGGGGUUGCGGACAGUGUCUGGUGGGUAGUUUGACUGGGGCGGUCUCCUCCCAAAGCGUAACGGAGGAGCACGAAGGUUAGCUAAUCCUGGUCGGACAUCAGGAGGUUAGUGCAAUGGCAUAAGCUAGCUUGACUGCGAGCGUGACGGCGCGAGCAGGUGCGAAAGCAGGUCAUAGUGAUCCGGUGGUUCUGAAUGGAAGGGCCAUCGCUCAACGGAUAAAAGGUACUCCGGGGAUAACAGGCUGAUACCGCCCAAGAGUUCAUAUCGACGGCGGUGUUUGGCACCUCGAUGUCGGCUCAUCACAUCCUGGGGCUGAAGUAGGUCCCAAGGGUAUGGCUGUUCGCCAUUUAAAGUGGUACGCGAGCUGGGUUUAGAACGUCGUGAGACAGUUCGGUCCCUAUCUGCCGUGGGCGCUGGAGAAUUGAGGGGGGCUGCUCCUAGUACGAGAGGACCGGAGUGGACGCAUCACUGGUGUUCGGGUUGUCAUGCCAAUGGCACUGCCCGGUAGCUAAAUGCGGAAGAGAUAAGUGCUGAAAGCAUCUAAGCACGAAACUUGCCCCGAGAUGAGUUCUCCCUGAGACUUUAAGUCUCCUGAAGGAACGUUGAAGACGACGACGUUGAUAGGCCGGGUGUGUAAGCGCAGCGAUGCGUUGAGCUAACCGGUACUAAUGAACCGUGAGGCUUAACCUUACAACGCCGAAG
rnacentral:rRNA from 1 species